rnacentral:rRNA from 1 species
GUGGGGAAUCUUGCGCAAUGGGCGAAAGCCUGACGCAGCCAUGCCGCGUGAAUGAUGAAGGUCUUAGGAUUGUAAAAUUCUUUCACCGGGGACGAUAAUGACGGUACCCGGAGAAGAAGCUCCGGCUAACUUCGUGCCAGCAGCCGCGGUAAUACGAAGGGGGCUAGCGUUGCUCGGAAUUACUGGGCGUAAAGGGCGCGUAGGCGGACAGCUUAGUCAGAGGUGAAAGCCCAGGGCUUAACCUUGGAAUUGCCUUUGAUACUGGCUGUCUUGAGUUUGGGAGAGGUGAGUGGAACUCCGAGUGUAGAGGUGAAAUUCGUAGAUAUUCGGAAGAACACCAGUGGCGAAGGCGACUCACUGGCCCAAUACUGACGCUGAGGCGCGAAAGCGUGGGGAGCAAACAGGAUUAGAUACCCGAGUAGUCC